rnacentral:rRNA from 1 species
AUUGAACGCUGGCGGCAGGCCUAACACAUGCAAGUCGAACGGUAACAGGAAGAAGCUUGCUUCUUUGCUGACGAGUGGCGGACGGGUGAGUAAUGUCUGGGAAACUGCCUGAUGGAGGGGGAUAACUACUGGAAACGGUAGCUAAUACCGCAUAACGUCGCAAGACCAAAGAGGGGGACCUUCGGGCCUCUUGCCAUCGGAUGUGCCCAGAUGGGAUUAGCUAGUAGGUGGGGUAACGGCUCACCUAGGUGACGAUCCCUAGCUGGUCUGAGAGGAUGACCAGCCACACUGGAACUGAGACACGGUCCAGACUCCUACGGGAGGCAGCAGUGGGGAAUAUUGCACAAUGGGCGCAAGCCUGAUGCAGCCAUGCCGCGUGUAUGAAGAAGGCCUCCGGGUUGUAAAGUACUUUCAGCGGGGAGGAAGGGAGUAAAGUUAAUACCUUUGCUCAUUGACGUUACCCGCAGAAGAAGCACCGGCUAACUCCGUG